AAGGGUCUCCCUACUUCAGAUGAGCAGAAGAAGCAGGAUGUGCUCAAAAAAUUUAUGGAGCAGCACCCUGAGAUGGACUUUUCAAAAUGCAAGUUUAAUUAAAGAAAAUGAAGAGAGA